AUUGAACGCUAGCGGGAUGCUUUACACAUGCAAGUCGAACGAGUGGCGGACGGGUGAGUAAUAUAUCGGAACGUGCCCAGUCGAGGGGGCUAACUACUCGAACGAGUGGCUAAUAGUGCAUACUAUUGUAGCGGCCGAUACUGGAUUAGCUAGUUGGUGGGGUAAAGGCUCACCAAGGCAACGAUCCAUAGCAGGUUUGAGAGGCCGACCGGCCACACUGGGACUGAGACACGGCCCAGACUCCUACGGGAGGCAGCAGUGGGGAAUUUUGGACAAUGGGGGAAACCCUGAUCCAGCCAUCCCGCGUGUAUGAGAAGGCCUUCGGGUUGUAAAGCUCUGUUGUCAGAGAAGCGGUAUCUGCAGAAAAAGCACCGGCUAACUACGUGCCAGCAGCCGCGGUAAUUC
rnacentral:rRNA from 1 species